GGGUUGUGAGGUUAAGCGAAUAAGCGUACACGGUGGAUGCCUAGGCAGUCAGAGGCGAUGAAGGACGUGCUAAUCUGCGAUAAGCGCCGGUAAGGUGAUAUGAACCGUUAUAACCGGCGAUUUCCGAAUGGGGAAACCCAGUGUGAUUCGUCACACUAUCAUUACCUGAAUACAUAGGGUAAUGAAGCGAACCGGGAGAACUGAAACAUCUAAGUACCCCGAGGAAAAGAAAUCAAACGAGAUUCCCCCAGUAGCGGCGAGCGAACGGGGAGCAGCCCAGGACCUUAAUCAGCAUCAGUGUUAAGAGAACAGUCUGGAAAGGCUGGCCACAGCAGGUGAUAGCCCUGUAUCUGAAAGCACUGGUGUUGUGAGUCCGAUGAGUAAGGCGGGACACGUGUUAUCCUGUCUGAAUACGGGGGGACCAUCCUCCAAGGCUAAAUACUCCUGACUGACCGAUAGUGAACCAGUACCGUGAGGGAAAGGCGAAAAGAACCCCGGCGAGGGGAGUGAAAAAGAACCUGAAACCGUGUACGUACAAGCAGUGGGAGCACCUUUAUGGUGUGACUGCGUACCUUUUGUAUAAUGGGUCAGCGACUUAUAUUCUGUAGCAAGGUUAACCGAAUAGGGGAGCCGCAGGGAAACCGAGUCUUAACUGGGCGAAUUAGUUGCAGGGUAUAGACCCGAAACCCGGUGAUCUAGCCAUGGGCAGGUUGAAGGUUGGGUAACACUAACUGGAGGACCGAACCGACUAAUGUUGAAAAAUUAGCGGAUGACUUGUGGCUGGGGGUGAAAGGCCAAUCAAACCGGGAGAUAGCUGGUUCUCCCCGAAAGCUAUUUAGGUAGCGCCUCGUGAA
rnacentral:rRNA from 1 species